GGCUUGAUAGCUCAGUUGGUAGAGCAGAGGACUGAAAAUCCUUGUGUCGGCGGUUCAAGUCCGCCUCGAGCCACCA
rnacentral:tRNA from 2 species